rnacentral:tRNA from 1 species
GGAGGGGUCGCAUAGUGGUCGAGUGCGGCGGUUUCGAAAACCGCUGUCCCGUAUUCGCGGGACCGGGAGUUCAAAUCUCCCCUCCUCCG